UUGACCCCUGCCUGCCUUGACCUGUCGUUUGCCUGCCCCUGUUACUUCAUUGUUACUACAUUGUUACUUCACAGAGUCUGCACUUGGGUCUUACCUUGAUUCCUGAUACUGGCUUGUUGAAAACAAUGUCUAUUUUGUCUGUUCUCUUUGGUCGCAAAGUCUUUUCUUCAGAUAAACAGCACAUUUUUGAAUGGUAACUGUGUUAAGGGUGGAGUUUGGGGCAGGGUGAUGAGUAUUGGAAAUAUGUGACUUUCAGUUUACAAUAGGCCAUAAGUAUACAGCAGAUCGCAGAUUGUCCUCACUUUGAUUAUGCUGUAACAACAUGACCAGGAUCUCUAUCAAUUUAAGUGAGCAGAUUAGGGCUUUCAGGAGGAACGGAAAAUCUACCCGAGACAUUUAAAAAUACUGGUAGCCUUGGGGAUUUUGGUCACAGACAGUGCUAUUCACAAACACUAUCAUCAGAUGCCUGUGUUAGACCGAACGUGCUUUACAAUACUGUAAAGUAGGCCUAAUACUGCUAAGGUACAUAAAAUAUUGUAGCCAACACCUCACGGACUGUUAUGUGUUUCACAAUAAUUCACUCUUGCCUCCUUUUUCAGGUAUCAUGGCUCGAGAUUUCUUUGAGGAAGAAAUAAUCACGAGAUAUGCUGGACCCUCUGUCAGAGAGGUGUUUCUGGGUACACAUCGUUUCUUUCAAGGGAUUGCACACCGAGGGUCCAUUGAGGUGGCAAGCUGCAUAUUGAAGUGGGUGAAGACAAAAUUAACUGCCACUCACCAAACCAGAGGUGCGCAAGUUGAUCAUCUUCAGUGACAGAUGAGGGGGCAGAAUAACAACUGGCGGAUGCUCAAUCUGAUGUCGAUGCUCGUCUCUUUGGGUUACCUUACCCAAGUUGAGCAGAAGUCCAUGGUCUCUGGUCAUUCUUUUCUUCCUUGUGAUCGAUCUUUUGCCACCAUCGAGAAGAGGCGCAAAGUGUCAGUCCUUCAUACACCUGAUGAUGUUUCAAAGAUGACACUUGAAGCACAACCAGCAAAACCAUUCGAGGUGAUGAGGAUGCAAUGUGAAGACUUCAGGCACCUCCCAGAUUCUGUCCUCAAGCGACCAACUGGACUACAGAUCACGUCCGUGAGGUGGUUAAAAAAGUCACAGUUGAGGAUCCUUGGAAUCUGUACGCCAGACAGAGCCACAGUCUAUUUGAGGGAUGGAAGUCGUGGCUGAUCUCCAAACCAAAACAAGGAGCUACACCUCAACCUCCCUAUUUUGCAAGCCACUACCCUAGAGCAUAUACCAUAUACCAAGAUCUGAUGAACAUGCUCAACUACUUGCCAGCUGCUGCACGCUCUUUUUAUGAAUCACUGCAGAGUGAAUCAUUUGCUGUUAAACCAAGCUACAUAAUGAACCGUUUUUUUUCUGUGAGUUUCUGAUCCCCUGAACCUGUAUAGUAUGUUGAAUCUGAAUACAUUUCAGAAGACAUGUCAGCCCUAUUGUAGGAAAUUCAAUGUAUAGUAGGUGUUUUCUAUGUGAAUCGAUUUGUGUAUGAUUUGAACCAGCACAAAAUAUUGAAUUAAUACAAUUUUAAGAUGAUGUUCCUAGUGUAGAAAAUGUAAUGAACAAUGUGUUCUGUUGAGAAUUAUUUUGCGUGAUCAUUUGAACCUUUUUUUUUAAAUCUGAAUGAAUUAAAAACA